rnacentral:rRNA from 1 species
UACGUAGGGGGCAGGCGUUGUCCGGAUUUAUUGGGCGUAAAGAGCUCGUAGGCGGUUCCGUAAGUCGGGUGUGAAAAAUCUGGGCUCAACCCAGUGGAGCACCCGAUACUGCGGUGACUGGAGUCCGGUAGGGGAGUGUGGAAUUCCUGGUGUAGCGGUGAAAUGCGCAGAUAUCAGGAGGAACACCGACGGCGAAGGCAGCACUCUGGGCCGGUACUGACGCUGAGGAGCGAAAGCAUGGGGAGCGAACAGG